CUCAGUUUAUCACUUGCCAUUUUCACACAAUCGUAUAUGAUACUCUUAAAGGCAGCUUAAACAAACCAUCAUCCUCACACACUUGCAUACCAGAAUCUUUGGAAACUGAUUUUGAAUCUUUAUCAUAAGACUUUACAAGUUGUUACACAGUUGUGCACAUGUUGGCGGAACUGUUUUCUAUCAGUAUGAUAGCUGAUUUCAAAAUUAGCUACAGCCAAACACUUGUUUUAACUGCAGACAUUUGGAAACUAAAAUGGAACUUAAAUGAUAAACUUUGCUGUGGGCACAACCUAAUUCUGUGAAUCAUGCACUCAAGCUUCCUUGAUAAAAUAAGAAAAUACACUGACAUAAUGACAUCAUAGACAAACAAUUUAUUAGAUUGCAAAGCACAGCAAACAAUCAUAAUAUAGCAAGAUAUGGUACUCGCAGCAAGUAACACACAAACAACUUUUGAAAACAAUGUGAAAGAGAUAUCAACUCAAUGCCUUUAUAGUUUCAGUAACACAAUAGAAAAUAUUAUUUAAAUUCAAGGAUGUAACAAGUAUUUAGAAAAUCAAUAUAUUGCCAUGGAUUAAAAGAUGAAGCAAGGUUUUGUCAAGCUGAAAUGCAGGUGUUUUAUGUGCAUACAAUAGUGUCACUUUAAAGACAAAAAAACAUGGAAUAUUUCCAAUGAGAGAUUAUUUGUUUUUGAUAGAGCCAUUUGAUUUCUUCCUGUAGACUAUGAUCACCGUGGAACAAAGAAGUGUUUAAAAUCCAUGCCUCUCGCCUCAGCAGAAUCUGUCUCAUUCACGUCAUUCGGGCAGAGUUCUGCAAGGGACACAUGAAACAUGACCAGUUUAACAACUAUAGAGAGUUAGAUGAAGAGGUUGUUGGAUGUACCACCACACACACACACACACACACACACACACACACAGGUAUUUAUUUUCUCACCUGCUCCAUAAUACUUGAAAGGAGGCGGGGUCACCAGGCGCUUGCAGGAGUAGGGAGCAGUUUGGUGAUGAUGGCACAGGGUAGUAGGCCUUCACCAACAGCGCCACCAGCAUGCCACCGUACAGAACAAAGAGACUAGGGCGCGGUUAAGGUAGAUGCAUCGACUUUGAGUGGCCACAUCACAAAUCAGCAUUGCAAAAGAUACACACUUUUACCCGUCGCACACCCAGUCCUUACUGGACUGGUUUUAACAGAUGUGGAUACAGUGUCGCAAUAUGGGUUUUUCUACAACAUUGCUUCUUGGUGAAUGGUUCCCUUCUGCUGCGCUUCUCUCCAUCCUGAUUCUCGACAUCGUCGCUGAUAAUGGGGGACUGACUGCCGAAGCCCGGGUCGGUCAUUUCCUAAGAGGGCCGUAAAGAGGAAGAAAAUCACUAACUUUUUGAUAAGACAUUACAAAACAAUCAGGAACAGUUUAAGGUCACGGCAUUGGUUUACGUUUGGAUUUGCAUCUACAUUGUCCUUACGGCUUUUGAAAAAUACCUAGGUCAGUUCACUUGUAUUUAAAUUUAAAUGGAUUAAAAAAUAACAGUUAUAGAGAUGUAUUUAUCUAUUCUUACUUAUUUCUUAUAUUUGUAUUAUAUGAUUAUGGGAUUUUUUGUGUGAAUUGUUCUAACGCCUUAAUUUCCCCUCAGAGGUGAAUCUAUGAUCUAUCCCUAUCAAUCCAUUUAUGAAGGACUGGCUUCACUCAUGAACAUAUUAAUAAACAUUUUCAACAUCAUUAUUGUUUUUCAAAAAUGAUAUGGUGUGCGUUAGCCUUUGCAUGCCAAAGAUGGUCAUCAAUCAUGUCAAUGAAACAGUUUUAAAAAAAAUAAGCAACUCACCAGUGAGAAUGAUUUCUUCCCAAUCUGACGUUAAUGAGCUGUUGAUGUCGUCGGUGUGGUUUUGCAUCUCCAAAUGCUGCUGGUGUCUAUAUAUACACAAGCCUCACUUCCCUUAAAUAGGGUUAAUGCUCAACUAGACGCAGGAUGUCAUGAGUGAAGGUGUGUGACCACAUGAUAUCUUGCAAUCACUGAGAAAAAUGCCUUCAAAGUAUUCAUACUGGCCGGCCAAACCUGUUUCAGGUACAAUAGUGGUG
ensembl:lncRNA